rnacentral:rRNA from 1 species
ACACAUGCAAGUCGAGCGGUAGAGAGAAGCUUGCUUCUCUUGAGAGCGGCGGACGGGUGAGUAAUGCCUAGGAAUCUGCCUGGUAGUGGGGGAUAACGCUCGGAAACGGACGCUAAUACCGCAUACGUCCUACGGGAGAAAGCAGGGGACCUUCGGGCCUUGCGCUAUCAGAUGAGCCUAGGUCGGAUUAGCUAGUUGGUGGGGUAAUGGCUCACCAAGGCGACGAUCCGUAACUGGUCUGAGAGGAUGAUCAGUCACACUGGAACUGAGACACGGUCCAGACUCCUACGGGAGGCAGCAGUGGGGAAUAUUGGACAAUGGGCGAAAGCCUGAUCCAGCCAUGCCGCGUGUGUGAAGAAGGUCUUCGGAUUGUAAAGCACUUUAAGUUGGGAGGAAGGGCAGUAACCUAAUACGUUGCUGUCUUGACGUUACCGACAGAAUAAGCACCGGCUAACUCUGUGCCAGCAGCCGCGGUAAUACAGAGGGUGCAAGCGUUAAUCGGAAUUACUGGGCGUAAAGCGCGCGUAGGUGGUUUGUUAAGUUGGAUGUGAAAUCCCCGGGCUCAACCUGGGAACUGCAUUCAAAACUGACAAGCUAGAGUAUGGUAGAGGGUGGUGGAAUUUCCUGUGUAGCGGUGAAAUGCGUAGAUAUAGGAAGGAACACCAGUGGCGAAGGCGACCACCUGGACUGAU